GAGUGAAUUAUGUGGUUGUCUUGCCUGGCAGUAUCGACAUCGUUACUAUGUACAAAAUUUAAAAGUAAAUAAACUCCGGACAAAGCAAUAUCGUCCCUACCUGGAAUCGUCAACCAGAGUCGAGGUCAACCUUUCCGGUAGUCCCCGACCAGUAUAAAUAAACGAACAUGCUCUCUAGGACGAUCAUUUUCUGGUAUCCUUACAGCGAGUAGCAUUGAGCGAGCAACGAUUCAGGCGUAUUAUACCAACUCUGUAUUCUAUAUUUAAACAAGCUGGCCGAAGAAAAAUCCAAGAGGUCGGGACGCGACGAAGCUUCCUGUGCGGAAACAAAAAUCACCUAAGUGCGAACUGCCCAACGAAAAGCAAAGUUGCCAGGUGUUUCAAAUGCCAGGAGUACGGACACAUCGCAUCGCAAUUUAACAAUGUCGAAUGCGUAGUGGAGAUAUUUGUAUGAGGAUAUCAGUGUGUGGAGAUAUGUGUGUGCGCGGCGACUGAAAAACAGAUGAAUGUAAACAGUUUGGUCGGUUAACAGUCUACGAAAGGUCGGGUAUGGAAGAAAGUGCUAAGACGCGUGCAAAUCCACAAUUCUCUACAAUUAUUUUUUCCACUAUUUUGGAAAAUACUGAAAGCAGUGAUAUUGGUCUGUAAGAUGCAGUUUGGUGUGGGUCCUUGCCUGGUUUUGUAUUGAAGUAAGUAUUGAAUUCUUAGAAUUGCAUUGAAUAUUAUUGUCAUUAGUCUUAUUGCUUUUGGCGGAAGGUUUUUCAAGAUUUUGCCAUUGAUUAAGUCGAUUCCUGGUGCUUUGUUGUUUUUCGUUUUAUCGAUUAUGUUUCUAAUUUCUUGUGCUGUUGUUCUAGGUAUGGUGUAUUACCAUACUUGUCGGUUGUGAUAAUAGUGGUUUGCGCAUCCUCCUCCGUAUGACUUUUGAGGUUGCUGUUGUUGAUAAUGUGUGGUGUGAAUGUGUUGCAGAGGUGGUUGGAGAAUUCUUCAGCUUGUUCUUCGUUGCUUCUUGCCCAUGUGUUUCCAUAGGGAGUAGUUGGUGUUCUCGUGUGUAGAGAGUGUCCCUAUGAACUUUGCUAAUUCAUUAUUGUUCUGCUCUUUUAUUUUGUUUUUUAUUUCCUUUGCAAGUUUGUUUAGGUGUUUUUUGUUUUCUCGAGUUCUGUGUUUUUGCCAUCUUGUUUUCGCUUUUCUUUUUUCUCUAAUUUUGUCGAGUAUUUCUUGCGAAAAUGUUAUUGUUCGUCUGCUGGUUGAUUCGGGUGUAGUGAUUGUCCUUGCUGCUUCUUAGAUAGUUGCUGUCAAUGUUGCUACUGCC
rnacentral:lncRNA from 11 species